rnacentral:tRNA from 1 species
GCGCCUGUAGCUCAGCGGAUAGAGCGUCUGCCUCCGGAGCAGAAGGCCACAGGUUCGAGUCCUGUCAGGCGCG